UUCAAAGUGAAAUAGCUUUAAUAGAAAGGUUCCUAUUGAACGAACAGAACGAGAAAGAGCGGUGCAGGCAAACUUGGGUGAUCAGUUCUAAGCGAAACAUAAUAUCGACCAGGAGAGAGCAGAAUGUCUAUCAUCAUGGAUUCUGACGAGCCACCAAUUAUUACCAAUACCAAUUACCAGGCACAAGAACUGGCCAAAGACGGAGACGGAUGAGUUUGUGGAAUUGGGUCCCAAUACAAUACAAUACCCAAUACAAGACAUCCCAGACCCGCGCGAGGGCUUUCUCAGCCUGGUGAAGGCAAAGUUAGCUGCGGGCGAAUACACCGUUGCAGAGCAACAUGGCCGUAGCAAAGUUUGGGGGUUUUUUGGAAAAAUUAUUGACGGCGAAGGAGUAGAAAUAAAUGGCGUGGUCUUGUGUCGAACGUGUGGCAGUGUUAUGGGGUAUUAUGGCAAUACCUCGAAUUUAGUUCGCCACAAGUGUUACAAACAGUCUAUUCCUCAAGUGCGAGCGCGCAAGGCAACACAAACAUCUUCGGCAAAUGAAAACAGCAAAAAAACACAAAAAUCGAAAGUAGAUUCAAUCAGCCAUACAGCACAAAAACCUACAGUAGAUUUAGUCAUUAAUGCAGCACAAAAAUCUGCUGGAGAUUCAAUCAUCAAUACAUAAAAGAGUCCUGUGAUAGAUGCCAUCAGCAUGGAUGAAAUAGCACUUGCGGUGACAAAGUGGUGCAUCAAGAGCUGCCACUCAUUUGAUAUAUUUGUCGAUGAAGGCCUGCAUGAUCUGUUGCGUGUGUUUCUUAAAGCCUCGUCUCGAUAUGGACCUAACAUUGAUAUAAUGGAGAGCCUGCCGCAUCCGACAUCAGUAGCCCGGGUCGCUUCGGAGUCAUUUGAGCAAGUGCUUUCCACAAUUAAAGGAGAACUGGCUCAGAUCAAAGAACAGGGCUUCAGUAUUACGAUUGAUAUAUGGACUGACAUGUUCUUAAAACGGUCCUACAUUAGUGCGAGUAUACACUAUAUACACGAGCACAAACUCUUCAACCGACUGUUGGCCAUGCGUUCGAUGGACGGAGAGCCGUUUACAGACCAACAAAUUCAGAAGGAAGUGGAGGACUGCCUACAUAAUCUCGAUUUGGCUGGAGCCAUCAUUGUGACGGAUCGUAGUUCGGAAGUGUAUUCUGCAUUUAAACACUUUGAUCACAUUUAUUGCAUCAAUCAUUUAUUGAAUAACGUUGUGGAGAAAUCAUUCAGAGAUGUCAAGGAACUGGAAGAUAUGAAGCUGCAAGCGACGGAACUCGUUAAAUACCUGAAAAUAUUACUGGAAAAUGUUAAUCUAAAGUCAAGCCUACAAAGUGAAUAUCCCACUCGGUGGAAUAGCAUAUUCUAUACACUCAAGUCCAUUGAACGACUAUCAACUUUCGUUUUUUUUUGUUUGACCAUUUUCGUUAAAACCUUUUUUUACGUAAAAUCCAA